AUGAGAGAGAUUAAAACAUUCUUGAGUUAUAAGGCACUGGACAGCAUGGGUAUGUGGGGAUCCAGGGCACUGCACUACAUGGGUAUGUGGGGAUACAGGCCGCUGCACUGCAUGGGAAUGUGGGGAUGCAGAGUGCUGCAGAGCAUGGGAAUGUGGGAAUUCAGGGUGCUGCAGAGCACAGGAAUGUGGGAAUCCAGGGCACUGCAGAGCACAGGAAUGAGGGGACACAGGGCACUGCAGAGCACAGGAAUGUGGGGAUACAGGCCGCUGCACUGCAUGGGAAUGUGGGGAUGCAGAGCGCUGCAGAGCAUGGGAAUGUGGGAAUUCAGGGUGCUGCAGAGCACAGGAAUAUGGGAAUCCAGGGUGCUGCAGAGCACAGGAAUGAGGGGACACAGGGCACUGCAGAGCACAGGAAUGUGGGGAUACAGGCCGCUGCACUGCAUGGGAAUAUGGGGAUGCAGAGCGAUGCAGAGCAUGGGAAUGUGGGAAUUCAGGGCACUGCAGAGCACAGUAAUGUGGGAAUCCAGGGCGCUGCAGAGCACAGGAAUGUGGGAAUCCAGGGCACUGCAGAGCAUGGGAAUGUGGGAAUCCAAGGCACUGCAGAGCACAGGAAUGUGGGAAUCCAAGGCACUGCAGAGCAUAGGAAUGAGAGGACACAGGGCACUGCAGAGCACANGCGCUGCAGAGCACAGGAAUGUGGGGAUACAGGCCGCUGCACUGCAUGGGAAUAUGGGGAUGCAGAGUGCUGCAGAGCAUGGGAAUGUGGGAAUUCAGGGCACUGCAGAGCACAGUAAUGUGGGAAUCCAGGGCGCUGCAGAGCACAGGAAUGUGGGAAUCCAGGGCACUGCAGAGCAUGGGAAUGUGGGAAUCCAAGGCACUGCAGAGCACAGGAAUGUGGGAAUCCAAGGCACUGCAGAGCAUAGGAAUGAGAGGACACAGGGCACUGCAGAGCACAGGAAUGUGGGAAUACAGGGCACUGCAGAGCACAGGAAUGUGGGAAUCCAGGGCACUGCAGAGCACAGGAAUGUGGGAAUCCAGGGCACUGCAGAGCACAGGAAUGUGGGAAUCCAGGGCACUGCAGAGCAUAGGAAUGAUGGGACACGGCACUGCAGAGCACAGGAAUGUGGGAAUCCAGGGCACUGCAGAGCAUAG
ensembl:lncRNA